AGACCUACAGCCAGACAGGAUGAUGACAACCAAUAUGAUUUGGUGUUGGGAGCCAUGAGCAGUGCAGCCAUGGUGGAUUCUGGGGAAGCUGGGAUAUACAGUCUGAUCACCUCUGUACCGGCCACGUUUCUGCCCUCAGGCCCUAUUGAAGAGAAUGGACAGUCAUUUGAAAACUACACAACUGAUACGUACCACAUAUACUGCUCAAUCCCUGACAAACUAGCAAACUCAGCCCAGCCGGAUGGGUUGUACAGUCUUCUACAGGCACACUGAAACUACACCACUGGCUGUCUGUAGCUAUGUCUCACACAAAUACCCUCUUUGUCCCAUGAUGUGCUUUGUUUAUUACAUAUAAAGUUACUGAGCGUAUCCAUAACAUCUGUUACUGUGUUAGUAGUUUUAUUUUGGAGGGGUCUGGUGGCAUACUCCUGAAUAUUUGUCUGAUUUUGUUCUCGUAGUAAACACAAAAUCUACUGUGUAUCUAUUCUUUCAGCUGUGUCAUUCCAUAACGGUCAGAUCAAAAUCAACAAAUACGGACAUUUCAAAAUGAUAUCAAUAAAUGUAUAGCAUAUUAACACAACGCUAUCAUGCAACAAGGGAAAUAGUAAAUGAAGCGACAUUCAUUUAAAUGAAGAACAAAAGAGUCUUAAAUCUUAAAGAAAAAUAACAUAAA